rnacentral:antisense_RNA from 1 species
UUAUGGCGGCUGUGCGUGGGAGGCCUUUGGGCCUGCCGGGUGCCAGGUUCCCGGUUCGCCAACCCGCGCACAGCUGCCACCCU